rnacentral:rRNA from 1 species
UGGGGAAUAUUGGACAAUGGGCGAAAGCCUGAUCCAGCCAUGCCGCGUGUGUGAAGAAGGCCCUCGGGUCGUAAAGCACUUUAAGUUGGGAGGAAGGGCUUACAGCGAAUACCUGUGAGUUUUGACGUUACCGACAGAAUAAGCACCGGCUAACUUCGUGCCAGCAGCCGCGGUAAUACGAAGGGUGCAAGCGUUAAUCGGAAUUACUGGGCGUAAAGCGCGCGUAGGUGGCUUGAUAAGUUGGAUGUGAAAUCCCCGGGCUCAACCUGGGAACUGCAUCCAAAACUGUCUGGCUAGAGUGUGGUAGAGGGUAGUGGAAUUUCCAGUGUAGCGGUGAAAUGCGUAGAUAUUGGAAGGAACACCAGUGGCGAAGGCGGCUUCCUGGCCUGUAACUGACGCUGAGACGCGAAAGCGUGGGGAGCGAAC